rnacentral:piRNA from 1 species
UGUGCUGGAGUUGUCUGAGUUACACAUCU